CGGGAAUAGCUCAAAUUUGAAAUCUCCCUUUGCGGGGCGAAUUGUAGUUUAGAGAAGUGUUUUCUGGGGUAGCUCAGGCAUAGGUCCUUUGGAAAGAGGCGUCAUAGAGGGUGAGAACCCCGUCUGUGGCCUGAAGCCUACUCCUCUGUGAUACACUUUC
rnacentral:rRNA from 1 species